GAACUGGAGGCCUGGUUCAAUUGGUAAGCACUUGCUUAGAUCAAGUCCCAGUAGCUCUAAAAAUAAUUAUAAUAAAUAAUAAAUAAACAAACAAUGUUAAAUGUUUAACUUGGGGCAAGUCUGUACUUUUUCCUUUAACAAUGUUGCUUUCAGAGACAAAGCAUGGAAUGGAUGGAUAAGUCACUAUCGAAACUAAAAUAGA
rfam:Dipodomys ordii contig_26500, whole genome shotgun sequence.